CCAAAUAAUUCAGUAUUUGUCUUAGUUCAGUUAUGUCAGAAGUUGCUCUUACUGUCUGCAGCACACAUUUCGCUGAUCAUGCUCUUCUAGAGUGGACCCAUACGCUAGGAUGUCGCCCAUAACUACUACAGUGCCCUCAUGUUUAUUCAGGAGGGAACUAAUCAUACUUUUGAAGACCUCAGGGGCAGAAGAUAUCCCGAAGGGGAAUCUGCAAAAACAAAACCUACCUACUGGUGUAAUAAAGGUAGCCAGCUUGUG